rnacentral:rRNA from 1 species
ACGUACACUCCUGCGGGAGGCAGCAUUGGGGAAUAUUGGACAAUGGGCGCAAGCCUGAUCCAGCCAUGCCGCGUGAGUGAUGAAGGCCCUAGGGUUGUAAAGCUCUUUCACCGGUGAAGAUAAUGACGGUAACCGGAGAAGAAGCCCCGACUAACUUCGUGCCAGCAGCCGCGGUAAUACGAAGGGGGCUAGCGUUGUUCGGAUUUACUGGGCGUAAAGCGCACGUAGGCGGACUAUUAAGUCAGGGGUGAAAUCCCGGGGCUCAACCCCGGAACUGCCUUUGAUACUGGUAGUCUUGAGUUCGAGAGAGGUGAGUGGAAUUCCGAGUGUAGAGGUGAAAUUCGUAGAUAUUCGGAGGAACACCAGUGGCGAAGGCGGCUCACUGGUUCGAUACUGACGCUGAGGUGCGAAAGCGUGGGGAGCAAACAGGAUUAGAUACCCUAGUAGUCCCAUG